rnacentral:sRNA from 1 species
CUUAUGAAAGACGAAAA